UUAGAUGAGUGGAAAGGUGCUGUGU
rnacentral:piRNA from 2 species